AUUAAGUUAACGUAGAUCAACCCAAAUGAGAAACAGCUGGAGGAGAUCUGAAGUCCCACUCAGUUGAGAAUGGAGCCUGAGUCAAUCGGAAGAGGGCACAACUGGAAAAGAACUGAACGUCAGCAACUCCUCGAGAAUCUGGAUCUCCCCUGCUGGCUCUUUGAUCCCGAUGAUGGAAGCUUGUAGGACUCUAUUGGUCCCAGGAACGACAAGAAGCGCUGGAAACUUCAAGCAGCCAGACAUCACCUUAGACAUCCGACUUGCAGGGAGCAUGAGGCACAAGACACCUGAAGAGGUUGGUUUGUGUGCGGUGGCUGAAC
rnacentral:lncRNA from 1 species